GCUUGCUCUGAUUAAUAGUCUCAGUGUUCAAACCUGAGUGCAGGUAACAGAAUAAAACAAACAGCCUGUUGAAACUGGGCACAGUGGCACAGGCCUAUAAUCUCAGUGGCUCUGGAGGAUCCCAAGUUUGAGACCAGUCUCUGUUUCAUAACAAAAAAUUUAAAAAGGGCUGGGGAUGUAGCUUGGUGGUAGAGUGCCCAGCACUGUGAUAAAAAUAAAUUUAAAAAAUUUUAAAAAGUACCAGGCAUGUUUAUACUUAGGUGGCAAAUUCAAUAUGAAGAAGGUAAAGGAAGAGCUAUCCACCAAUUUUUCUUGCUUACACGGGUGGCUAGAUGGCAGAGGCAUUCUUGGGGUACCCAAGAACCCCAACUGAGGGUCUGGAUUCAGAGAAUGUCACAUAACUUAUUGUUAAUUUAUUACUAUUAUCAUCAUCAUCAUCCUCUUCUCAAAAAUUGAGAAGACAGAAUCUCACUAUAUUGCCAAGACUGGUCUUCAAUUUCUGAGCUCAAGUGAUCUUCCCACUUCAAUGUCCAGAGUAGGUGGGACAAUAGUUACAUGUUGCCACACCAUGCCACAUGCUCAGUUUCGAGUAUAAGGAGAUUGAAAUGUCUUGAAGACAAUUCAGAAGAGAUGUUGAAUUAUAGUUGUGCACGAGGAUUUAGAGUUUAGAUAACAAGUCUGUUCUGGGGUCAUGGGCAUGUUGAUGGGAAUGAAAGCCCCAAGAAUUGAGUUGACUAAAUGAUCAAAUAGAUGAAUAAUCAGAAACUGAGGCUCAAAGAGAGUCCCUUGGGUCCACCCUGACUUAGUGACAGUGUAAAACCAUUAACAAAGAGUCUUUAAAGAAUGGUCUCUUUAGGAAGCACCUCAUAGAGGGGAGAUGAGCAUUUCUCAGU
rnacentral:lncRNA from 1 species